ACUGAAGCGCAGGGAGUGCUUCAGGAUCAGGGACGAUCGACCAUUGCCAUGAUGGCUGCCGACAGGAUGUUGGGAUGGUCUGAGAAAAACCCGCUUCGGCGGGUUUUU
rnacentral:sRNA from 3 species